AGGACAGGAAUGGGUGCACCAACACUGCAAAUCCAUCUGCAGCCACACAGCAGAAAGGAUAUGCAUUUUGUGCUGCUGUGAGCAGCUGUAUUCAUCCAUGGGCUGAGAAAGAAGGUAAAAGGAACCCUCAUGAGUGAACAAGAAGUGGCUGGCCUGCUUGCCCAGCUUUGCAGUCUCAAGAUGAUGCCUUCCUUAAUAAGAAACUAAACAUCCCUCCCUGAGCAAGUGCUGUGAG